rnacentral:lncRNA from 1 species
GGAAGCUGGGGUUUCGGGCCAUCCAAGCUCCAGACCCACUGCUAAGCUCCCAUGUCGAGCCCUGUCCUCAAUGCCCCAUGCUUGGGUGAGCCAUCCAGCCCUAUUCACUGGUUGAUCCCAGAGUCCCAAACCCCCUUCUAAUUCUCAGCUCUGCCACCACCAUCCUAGGGUCUCCUGUCCUUCCAAAGAUGGAUGACCAGCAUUGGCCAGUGCGGGGAAUCCCUGCACUUUUGUGAUGUCAGCUGCAAGUCCUGGAACUAAGCCCUGGAUUAACAAGAUGCUUUGGUGAAGACAGGAAGGCUGGAGAAGGUAAAGCCAGGCUGCAGUGGAGGUCUCGCCUCAGAGACUCCCGAGCACAGAAGGUGAGGAGGAUACUUACUCACGGCAGCUGGAGAAGACCUGCUGUGACCAUUUUGCAUCUAAAAUGGCCCUGCCACUGAAGAGCUCUGUGAUCUCAGGCAAGUUACUCAACCUCUCUGUGCCUCAGUUUUAUCAUCUAGAAUGUGAGGGAAAUAACACAAA